UACGGAGGGUGCAAGCGUUGUUCGGAAUUACUGGGCGUAAAGCGCGCGUAGGCGGCUAUGUAAGUCAGAUGUGAAAGCCCGCGGCUCAACCGUGGAAGUGCAUUUGAAACUGUAUAGCUUGAGUACUGGAGGGGGUAGUGGAAUUCCCGGUGUAGAGGUGAAAUUCGUAGAUAUCGGGAGGAAUACCGGUGGCGAAGGCGACUACCUGGCCAGAUACUGACGCUGAGGUGCGAAAGCGUGGGGAGCAAACAGG
rnacentral:rRNA from 1 species